AGGAAGAAGAGUAAGAAGCCUGAUGUCGCUCCUUAGGUUUUUAUUUGCGAAAGUGAUGGAGGGAAAUAUUUUUUUUUUUAUAUAUCUCGCUUUGGCUGUUGGUCCGUGACAGCCAAGUCUUAUGUGUUACCGUCAAGUGACAGUGUGAAUCGACAAAAUAAAUUUAUUCGAAUAGAUUGUUUUGUAUAUUUUUCGUUUGCGUGAUCUUAGUUUGCUAUGUAGCAGUUUGAAGAGUAUGUUGAGUUGUGUUUUUAUGUGAUCGGUUCAAAAUGCUAAUUUUAUUCUCCCUUAUGAACAAAGCAAGCUGUUUAGUAUUGUUUAUGUUAUUUUCAGUUAAAAUAAGUAUCAAAUCAAGUUUCUUCGAGAGUACUGGCUACAUUGUAUUAAUUACAGUUUUCGUUAGGGACCAAUCCCCAUUUAUAUAGUUUAUCCUUUGUGGCUAAGUGGCCUGAGCGUAGUCUUGAUAGAGAUAUUGUGAGAUCGUUCGGCAAACAUAUGUUUUGGAACCAUGGCUCCACACACUUAAUUUAUCUCGGCAAACUUCCCAACAGCUGAUGGAGCUCGGUGAAAUUUCUAUCAAAUGUCAGCAAUAUAUUUUGACGAACAUUCAGCAAAUAUAUCGAUCUACCGUAAACCAGCAGGUAUUAAAUUUCGUUUGCCGAAGUUCUUGAAAAUUCUGCCUUAUAGAACAUUUCGCUGAAUUUAUCAGCUGUUCUCGGCAAUGAAAUCUAAGUGUGCAGUUUGAUAGUUGGCAUAAUUUUGUAAUGGCUAAGGGUCAAGUCGUCUUUGGUUAUUGGAAAAUCGUCAAUUUCAGUUCUUGUUGUUCCAAGUUUAGCUGCAUGAUCAGCUCUGUCGUUUCCCGUUAGAUGAAUAUGUCCAGAAAUCCAUCGAAUGGUGAGACUGUCUA